rnacentral:lncRNA from 10 species
CGGGGAGCUCGGUUUUGUAAGUCUGCCGAUGCUCCUGGCAGAAUAAAGCCCUUUCCUUCCUCAACUCGGUGUCUGAGGGGUUUUGUCUGCAGCUAGUCCUGCUACAUUUCUUGGUUCCCUGACCUGGAAGCGAGGUGAUUACCGGGCGGUGGAGGCAACUGCUUAGGAGGCUUAGGCCUGCCUUGUGGAACAUCCCUGCGGGGGACUCCUGCCGGCUUUAGUGAAUCCUGAGAGUGCUUUCAGCUGGGUAAUUGCCCUGGUGGAACGCCUCGCCAGAGCAGCGCACGGUAGGCCCCCGCGGAGGAUUAACGCAGCGGCUGAACAGCGGGAAGGAAUCGGCGCUUGGAGUCCAGACAUCUGGAACACGCUCUUGAACAUCAGAUUCCAGGUUCUGCAGCCUUUGGACUCUUGGACUUAGACCAGUGGUUUGCCGGGGGAUCUCAGAUCUUCAGCCACAUACUGAAGUCUGCACUGUUGGCUUCCCUACUUUUGAGGCUUUGGAACUCUGACUGAGCAACUACUGGCUUCGUUGCUCCUCAGCUUGCAGGUGGCCUAUCGUGGGACUUCACCUUGUGAUCACAAAGCAAGCUGACUUGAUUUCUGAAGUCCCUGUGUGCCCAUUCCCACUGGAUGUCUAGACUCCUUACAGAGAUGGAGC